CAAGUACUCCCUCUGUCCGGAAUUACUUGUCAUCAAAAUGGAUGUGUCUAGAACUAAAAUACAUCUAGAUACAUCCAUUUCAAUGACAAGUAUUUUCGGAUGGAGGGAGUACAAG
rfam:Triticum aestivum genome assembly, contig: Triticum_aestivum_CS42_TGACv1_scaffold_374796_5AL